GUGGGGAAUCUUGCGCAAUGGGCGAAAGCCUGACGCAGCAACGCCGCGUGCGGGAUGAAGGCCUUCGGGUUGUAAACCGCUUUCAGUAGGAACGAAAAUGACGGUACCUACAGAAGAAGGUCCGGCCAACUACGUGCCAGCAGCCGCGGUAACACGUAGGGACCAAGCGUUGUCCGGAUUUAUUGGGCGUAAAGAGCUCGUAGGCGGUUCAGCAAGUCGGGUGUGAAAACUCUGGGCUCAACCCAGAGACGCCACCCGAUACUGUUGUGACUAGAGUCCGGUAGGGGAGUGGGGAAUUCCUGGUGUAGCGGUGAAAUGCGCAGAUAUCAGGAGGAACACCGGUGGCGAAGGCGCCACUCUGGGCCGGCACUGACGCUGAGGAGCGAAAGCGUGGGUAGCAAACAGGAUUAGAAACCCGGGUAGUCC
rnacentral:rRNA from 1 species